AUUGAACGCUGGCGGCAGGCUUAACACAUGCAAGUCGAACGAGUGGCGGACGGGUGAGUAAUGCUUGGGAAUCUAGCUUAUGGGGGGGGAUAACUACGGGAAACGGUCGCUAAUACCGCGUACCAUAGGAUGAGCCCAGGUGGGAUUAGGUAGUGGGGGAGUAAAAGGCUCACCAAGCCGACGAUCUCUAGCUGGUCGGAGAGGAGGACCAGCCACACUGGGACUGAGACACGGCCCAGACUCCAACGGGAGGCAGCAGUGGGGAAUAUUGCGCAAUGGGGGCAACCCUGACGCAGCCAUGCCGCGUGGAUGAAGAAGGCCUUCGGGUUGUAAAGUACUUUCAGUCGGGAGGCGUUACCGACAGAAGAAGCACCGGCUAACUCCGUGCCAGCAGCCGCGGUAAUAC
rnacentral:rRNA from 1 species